UUUAAAAAUUAAUUAGACUACUAAAUACUUUUUUUGGUUGGGGCGACCUAGGAACAAAUAAAGCUUCCUAAUUUUUCUAGACUAUAUAUAUGGAUCCAGUAAAACUGAUUUAUAAAACAAGUUACCCC
rnacentral:rRNA from 1 species